UGUUGGAAUUUGUGGUUAAAUAGAUUCAUUUAAACUAGAAUGAUAAAAAUAGAACAGUCAUUCAAAACUUAUGAAAUUAUGUAAAAAAAAAAUUGAGAAUCUUCAAUUUGACCUCUUUGUCAUUCCUUCUCCUCGUGAAGAAAUUGUCUCAAUAUAUAUUUUAUUAUAAAGGUAAUUUUUGUUUGUUAUUUUAUUUAUUACACAUACAUACACAUACAUACACGUUAAAUGAUGAAAUGAAAUGACACUUAUUACAUAUGUGUAUGUAUUUGUAUGCAUGCAUGUAUAUUACUACACACACAAACACACAUAUUCUAAUAUAUAUACACUCACAAACUCAAUGUUUGGGUGUAUGUGUGUGUGUGUGUGUGUGUGUGCACGCGCGUGUGUGUAUGUGUCUUUGCUAGAGAGUGAGAGAGUGCAAGUGAGAGAUAGCCAGACAGACAUAGAAUGAUAGAUAAACAGAUAGACACACAAUGACACACACAUAUACACAGCGAAUUUGGAAACUAUAUACACCUGAAAUUUGUAUCUACAUGUGUGAAUGCACAUGAUGCAGAUGCAUAAGUGCAACAUUGGGGAUUUCUAUGUAAAUACUCAAUGCAGAAACCUUUCAAGUUGCAAGAUCACCUGAGAUAGAACACCAAAAGACGUGACAGAUGAACUGGGAAGUAUAUAUACAUUAGUUCCUGCCUUCAUUCCAUCGGUGCUCCAAUUUUCCGAAGCUGACGAUCAAAAAGACUGUUACAAGUUCAAUGGAUGUGUGACCAGAAGUAAUAUUUGGGGAGACAAUAUCUGUUCAGCAGUAACUUAGGUCAAAUUUGUGGCAGGAGUGGCUGGGUCACUGUCAACUUAAUGGAUUUCUACAGAGUGCAUGACGAUGAUGAUUGUGAUGGUGGUGGUGGUGGUAGUAUUAGUAGCAGGAAGAAGAGGAAUGCUGUCCACUUGGACACAAACUUCUGCAGAUGAUGCACUCUCAAUCAGUGGUUUAUCAAAUGGCUUUACAGCACUGGCAAAGACAGAAGUUCUUGCUGCUCUUCCUGCUGUCAACCUUCAUCUGUUUUGAAGCAAGUCAAAAUAUGUUUUUACAGAAGAUUGGAAAGGAACAACACCUUCACAGUAUCAAGACAAGGAGGCACAAAUGCAUGCACACACAUACACAUACACUCACACAUUUACAAUGGGUUUCUGCUUCUGUCAACCAAAUCCACUUGGUUGGCUAAGGCUGUGUGUGUGUGUGUAUAAACACAUAGACACAGCAUCUUUUUUCUCUUUCUAGUACAAAAAUAGCAAGCAAAUUCACUGGAGUAGUCAUUAAUUAAAUGUAAAACUGGGAAAUCAGAAGAAAAAUGAGCUAUGAACAAAUAUUCUUCACACAGACACAAAUAAAAAUAAGUCAUUAAAUGUAAUCAUAACUCUUUCUUAGUUCAUUAACUAGCAUAAAACUUUAUAAAAUGUUGAGAUGAUAUAUAUAAAGUAUUCAUAGUAUGUUUGACUAUAAGAUUGUAAGCAAACAGAUUCUGGAAAUUUAAGAUUUGAAGUAAGUUAAACAUAACUAUGUUAGCAAUGUAAGGAACACACCCUAUCUGAAGGGAAUUCCACAUUUUGCUUUUAAAAUAUUAGAACCUACAACUAAAUAUUUCUCAAGAUGAAUUUAUAGCACUAAACUAAAAUGGAUGUGAGCAAAUAUCUAAGUUAAAACUGAGAAAUAGAUCCAUUAUUAUAUUCUGGGAUGGAACAUAUUUUUUAAUAUUUUCUGACAGUAAAGUUUCUUCCUUUUGUUAAUGUUUGAUUUGAGCUACAUAACUUUUACAUCUAUUUUUCCAAACUAGCAAGAAUGGAACAUUUCCAAUGUAAUGUUCUCUUUCAAUUCAUGUGAUUGUAGCUUGGUUUUUAUAACUGGAUACUCUUCCUUUUGCAAACUAUGUAUGAGCAUUUAGAGAAAUUCUCCACCUAGUCUCAAGGCCUUCUCUAACAAAUAUAGAUUUCAGCCCCAAUUAUUAAAACAGACAAAGCAUGCUUAUUGUUUCUUCAUCCCUCUUAAAUAGUAUAUUAUUUCAUUAGAAAAAAAACUAGAUGUUUUUAAUUGUAAGAGAUAUGAAGAGAAAUACUACAUUAACCAACACACAGCAUUGAUUGCUUAGGCAAAUGUCUUCUAACAUACCUCAGAUUGACCAAUGCCUUAUAAAUGGAAUUUAGCAUACAGAAAUUGUAUAGAGACUUGUGCAUAUGUGCAUGUGUUUAUAUAUGUAUAUAUGAACUUAUGUAUGUGUACAUCUUUCAUAGAUUAUUAUGAAGAAGGAUUAAGGUGACAAGCUGGCAGAAAUGUUAGCAUGUCAGGCAAAUUGCUUAGUGGCAUUUCUUCAAGCUCUUUACAUUCUAAAUUUGGAUCUCACCAAGGUUGACUUACCCUUUUCAUCUUUUCAGGGUCAAUAAAAUAAAGUACCAGUCAAAUGCUGGGGUCAAAGUAAUUAACUUGGCUUCUCCCUUUAAAUUUGCUGACUUUGUGUUAAAAUUUUAACACAAAGUCAAAAUUUUAAACAAUUAUUGGAGAAGGAUGUAAACAUCUACAAAAAAAUGAACCAAGCCCUUUGCAAUAUUUGUUUUGCACCAAGUUUAAGAUACUCUUUUGUUGCUCUCACCAUCUGAAAUGCAGUGAACCAGUAAUUGCCCCAUUGGCAAAAAACUACAUGAGCAAAACUGCUAUUGUUCAUCAAUUACAAUACAAAAUAAAUAAGAGCCCCAUCCUGUCUCUUUUCUACUAGCAUAUCAGAGACAUCUGCUUCUAGCUGUCUUUGUCCUUUGAUUUCACACCAUCCAGUAUUCCUGUUGACAUCUCUUACAAUAACAACAGUGCACUCGUCCUUAAGCAAGUACAAUUUCCCAUGAAGAAAUCCAACCAACAGAAAUAAGCUGCUGCUUGCCACCAGAGAAUGGUUACUGAGACAGUUUAACCAUUGGCAUUGCUUCCUCUAUUUUUAACAAAUUUUUUUUCUCAUACUGAAGGAAACCAGCUCUACUAAGAAAACAGAUUAGUAAUACUUAUCUUGACAAUUUCUUUUUAGAUGCAUCUUCCAAAAAUUUAUCUUAUUUUAUUCAUUUUUAACAAUAUUUCAUUCCCCAAUUCUAUUAAAUUUUAAGAAUGUGCAAUGACUUCCACAUGUUACACAGAUUUUCUUUUUAUGUUACCACAUUUGCUUACAUUGUAUUGAAUACAGUUUUUGCAACUUCUCUGCAAUAGACACAUUAUCAUUUCACAUGUUUGUUAAAAUAAUACAAACAUAACCAAUUUGAAUACAAUGGGAUUUGUGCAGCUUCCUGUAAAUUAUUUUCAAAUAAUACAGGCGUGGCUGUGUGCCAAGGAGCUUGCUUCUCAACCACAUGGUUCCGGGUUCAGUUCCACAGUGUGACAUCUUGGGCAAGUGUCGUCUACUAUAGCCUCGGGCUGGCCAAAGCUUUGUGAGUGGAUUUUAUAGACGGAAACUGAAAGAACCCUGGGAUCUAUUUUAAAACGGGGGCCACAUUUUUCAUUAAUGUUUUACGUAGUGUUUUUGGUACGGAAAGACUUUCAAACUUCGUAUACUUAUCUAUUUUGUGUUAUAGAACAGAAAAAUAUUUUUGUAUUCGAAUUUAUUUCAUGUAAAAAAUUGUCUUAUUUCGAUAAUUUCAACCAAUCACUGACAAGUAUUCAGUUGUUUUGAUUAAGCGAUGUAAAGCGUAUUUAAUCUCCAUACCUUCGUUUUAUUUGCUUUUUUCAUUUUAAAUUUGCUUUAACCCUAACCCUAACGUUAGGGUUAGGGUUAGGGUUAAUUGUUUCAGAAUCGUUUGUUUAUGUAGUCGGCACUUAAUGUAUAUCGGCUGAA